CUUACAUCUCUUCGGAGCAUUUUACGAGGUGCUGCAUGGUUGUCGUCAGCUCGUGCCGUGAGGUGUCGGGUUAAGUCCCAUAACGAGCGCAACCCCUACCUUUAGUUGCCAUCAGGUAAUGCUGGGGACUCUAAAGGAACUGCCUACGCAAGUAGUGAGGAAGGCGGGGAUGACGUCAAAUCAGCACGGCCCUUACGUCCAGGGCUACACACGUGCUACAAUGGCCGAUACAGAGGGCAGCUACCUGGUGACAGGAUGCAAAUCUCCAAAGUCGGUCUCAGUUCGGAUCGGAGUCUGCAACCCGACUCCGUGAAGUUGGAUUCGCUAGUAAUCGCGCAUCAGCCAUGGCGCGGUGAAUACGUUCCCGGGCCUU
rnacentral:rRNA from 1 species